rnacentral:rRNA from 1 species
CAGCCGCCACGGGAACACGUAGGGUGCAAGCGUUAAUCGGAAUUACUGGGCGUAAAGCGUGCGCAGGCGGUUAUAUAAGACAGAUGUGAAAUCCCCGGGCUCAACCUGGGAACUGCAUUUGUGACUGUAUAGCUAGAGUACGGCAGAGGGGGAUGGAAUUCCGCGUGUAGCAGUGAAAUGCGUAGAUAUGCGGAGGAACACCGAUGGCGAAGGCAAUCCCCUGGGCCUGUACUGACGCUCAUGCACGAAAGCGUGGGGAGCAAACAGGAUUAGAUACCCGCGUAGUCCCUGUCUCUUAUAC